rnacentral:piRNA from 1 species
UGCUCAUAGUUCCAAUGCCAUUUGACGCC